AUUGAACGCUGGCGGCAGGCCUAACACAUGCAAGUCGAGCGAGCGGCGGACGGGUGAGUAAUGUCUGGGAAACUGCCUGAUGGAGGGGGAUAACUACUGGAAACGGUAGCUAAUACCGCAUACCAUCAGAUGUGCCCAGAUGGGAUGAGCUUGGAGGGGGGGUAAUGGCUCACAUAGGCGACGAUCCCUAGCGGGUCUGAUAGGAUGACCAGCCACACUGGAACGGAGACACGGUCCAGAACCCUACGGGAGGCAGCAGUGGGGAAUAUUGCACAAGGGGCGCAAGCCUGAUGCAGCCAUGCCGCGUGUGUGAAGAAGGCCUUCGGGUUGUAAAGCACUUUCAGCGGGGAGGCGUUACCCGCAGAAGAAGCACCGGCUAACUCUGUGCCAGCAGCCGCGGUAAUAC
rnacentral:rRNA from 1 species